GACGAACGCUGGCGGCGUGCUUAACACAUGCAAGUCGAACGGAAAGGCCCUGCUUUUGUGGGGUGCUCGAGUGGCGAACGGGUGAGUAACACGUGAGUAACCUGCCCUUGACUUUGGGAUAACUUCAGGAAACUGGGGCUAAUACCGGAUAGGAGCUCCUGCUGCAUGGUGGGGGUUGGAAAGUUUCGGCGGUUGGGGAUGGACUCGCGGCUUAUCAGCUUGUUGGUGGGGUAGUGGCUUACCAAGGCUUUGACGGGUAGCCGGCAUGAGAGGGUGACCGGCCACAUUGGGACUGAGAGACGGCCCAGACUCCUACGGGAGGCAGCAGUGGGGAAUAUUGCACAAUGGGAGGAAGCCUGAUGCAGCAACGCCGCGUGCGGGAUGACGGCCUUCGGGUUGUAAACCGCUUUCGCCUGUGACAAAGCGUGAGUGACGGUAAUGGGUAAAGAAGCACCGGCUAACUACGUG
rnacentral:rRNA from 1 species